GAUGAACGCUGGCGGCGUGCCUAAUACAUGCAAGUCGAGCGAACAGAUGAGGAGCUUGCUCCUCUGACGUUAGCGGCGGACGGGUGAGUAACACGUGGAUAACCUACCUAUAAGACUGGGAUAACUUCGGGAAACCGGAGCUAAUACCGGAUAAUAUAUUGAACCGCAUGGUUCAAUAGUGAAAGACGGUUUUGCUGUCACUUAUAGAUGGAUCCGCGCCGCAUUAGCUAGUUGGUAAGGUAACGGCUUACCAAGGCAACGAUGCGUAGCCGACCUUAGAGGGUGAUCGGCCACACUGGAACUGAGACACGGUCCAGACUCCUACGGGAGGCAGCAGUAGGGAAUCUUCCGCAAUGGGCGAAAGCCUGACGGAGCAACGCCGCGUGAGUGAUGAAGGUCUUCGGAUCGUAAAACUCUGUUAUUAGGGAAGAAAAAAUGUGUAAGUAACUAUGCACGUCUUGACGGUACCUAAUCAGAAAGCCACGGCUAACUACGUG
rnacentral:rRNA from 1 species